rnacentral:rRNA from 1 species
GUGCCUAACACAUGCAAGUCGAACGAGAAAGUGGAGCAAUCCAUGAGUAAAGUGGCGACCGGGUGAGUAACACGUGACUAACCUACCUCCGAGUGGGGAAUAACUCCGGGAAACCGGGGCUAAUACCGCAUAACAUCGCGAGAUCAAAGCAGCAAUGCGCUUGGAGAGGGGGUCGCGGCUGAUUAGCUAGUUGGCGGGGUAACGGCCCACCAAGGCGAAGAUCGGUAUCCGGCCUGAGAGGGCGCACGGACACACUGGAACUGAAACACGGUCCAG